rnacentral:rRNA from 1 species
CCCUUAGAUGUUCUGGGCCGCACGCGUGCUACACUGAGUGGAUCAGCGGGUCAGGUUGCGCGAAAGUGUUUCCUAAUCUUUAAAUCCGCUCGUGAUGGGGAUUGACGGUUGCAAUUUUCCGUCAUGAACGAGGAAUACCUUGUAAGCGCGGGUCAUCAUCCCGCGCUGAAUACGUCCCUGCCCUUUGUACACACCGCCCGUCGCUCCUACCGAUUGAGUGGUCCGGUGAGGCUUUGGGAUCUGAGCGGAAAGAGCGUUUCGCUGUUUCUGCCCGGAAAACUCAGUCGAACCUUAUCAUUUAGAGGUAGGAGAAGUCGUAACA